UGCGCAGUGCUCACCCGCAGGUGCAGAAGAGCGAGCGAGCGCGUUCCGCCCCAGACGCCGGGGUUCGUAGGCAGUAAAGACUCCCCCUCUUCUCUCCGCAGGAAGCGGACCCAGCGGGAGCGCACACACACGGAAGAACAGAGCCCUCUGCAAUUCUCAUUGGUGGACUCUCCGUGUAGAGCCCGCCCUCAAACCUACUCUUCCGGGAAAGGGCGAAGAAGGGGACCAAUGGAGACCGGAUCACAGGGAAGGCAUGAGGAGAGUCUGUGUGCACACCCACAGGGUUUGUCAUCACCCCCCUAAGCUCUGCUGCACGAGUACAGCCAUUGCCACCCUCAUCAGGACCCGGAUGCUUCUCUAACGGACUGUGCCAUUACCACCCACAUCUGCCUCAUUAACCAUGCCCCUGCCUCUGCUUCUGAGGGAUUCUGCACAACAGACUUCAUGGCAGAGCCCUGGUCCUUUGUUGUUUUAAUUCUGCCAGAUGUCAAGACAUCAUCUUUGAAUUCCACAGUCUGCUCCCCAGACUCAAGCUCAGCAUGGUGGUAUACAAUUGUGCUCCCAACACUCUGGAAGCA